UGGACUUUGGUUAUCCUCAAUAUACCGAAGCAAAAAUUCUUAGUGAGUUCAUAAAAACUGAUGCAUAUAGGAUGGAGGUUACACAAAGGCCUCCAAUGGCAGUUACAAAUGCUGUGUCCUGGCGUAGUGAAGGGAUAAAUUACAAGAAGAAUGAAGUGUUUUUGGAUGUUGUGGAGAGUGUUAAUAUACUUGUAAACAGCAAUGGGCAAAUAGUGAGAUCAGAUGUUGUUGGUGCACUGAAGAUGAGGGCAUACUUGAGUGGCAUGCCUGAGUGUAAGCUUGGUCUUAAUGAUAGAAUGUUGCUGGAAGCACAAGGGCGAACUACCAAGGGGAAGGCCAUUGAUCUUGAUGAUAUCAAGUUUCAUCAGUGUGUUCGCUUGGCCCGAUUUGAAAAUGAUCGCACUAUAUCAUUUAUACCGCCAGAUGGAGCCUUUGAUCUUAUGACCUACAGACUUGGUACUCAGGUAAAGCCUCUCAUAUGGGUGGAAGCUCAAGUGGAAAGGCAUUCUAGGAGCCGUAUGGAAAUUGUGGUUAAAGCACGGAGCCAGUUCAAGGAACGAAGUACUGCAACUAAUGUUGAAAUUGAGUUACCUGUGGCAACGGAUGCUACAAAUCCAAAUGUCCGAACAUCAAUGGGAUCAUCUACUUAUGCACCUGAAAAAGAUGCACUGAUUUGGAAAAUAAAAUCUUUCCCAGGUGGUAAGGAAUAUAUGUUGAGAGCGGAGUUUACUCUUCCCAGUAUUACAGCAGAAGAAUCAGUUCCUGAGAGAAAAGCUCCUAUACGUGUGAAAUUUGAAAUUCCUUAUUUUACUGUUUCUGGUAUACAGGUUCGCUACUUG
rnacentral:misc_RNA from 1 species